GACGAACGCUGGCGGCGUGCUUAACACAUGCAAGUCGAGCGGUAAGGCCCUUCGGGGUACACGAGCGGCGAACGGGUGAGUAACACGUGGGUGACCUGCCCUUAGCUCUGGGAUAAGCCUGGGAAACUGGGUCUAAUACCGGAUAUGACCUCAUGACGCAUGUUGUGGGGUGGAAAGCCUUGUGCGGCUAGGGAUGGGCCCGCGGCCUAUCAGCUUGUUGGUGGGGUGANGGCCUACCAAGGCGACGACGGGUAGCCGGCCUGAGAGGGUGACCGGCCACACUGGGACUGAGACACGGCCCAGACUCCUACGGGAGGCAGCAGUGGGGAAUAUUGCGCAAUGGGCGGAAG
rnacentral:rRNA from 1 species